UUCACAAAUGAUAUCGGAUAUGUUCCUUACGUCGUAACUACAAUCCCCUUCCCUUUCAUGAAUGUGACCUACCGAAUUAGACUAUUUACCGGAUUUGUAAUCACAUAAGCAACACGACGGGUGCCACAUGUGGAGCAGGAUCUGCUUACACUUCCGGAGCACCUGAGAUCACCCCUAGUUUUUGGUGGGGUUCGUGUUGUU
rnacentral:lncRNA from 1 species